GACGCAGGCGGCCCGGCAAGUCGGGUGUGAAAGCCCGGGGCUCAACCCCGGAAUUGCACUCGAAACUGCCGGUCUUGAGUACGGGAGAGGGAAGCGGAAUUCCUGGUGUAGAGGUGAAAUUCGUAGAUAUCAGGAGGAACACCCGUGGCGAAAGCGGCUUCCUGGCCCGAUACUGACGCUCAUGUCCGAAAGCGUGGGGAGCAAACA
rnacentral:rRNA from 1 species